GUGUCAGCCGCCGCGGUAAUACGUAGGUGGCAAGCGUUGUCCGGAUUUAUUGGGUUUAAAGGGUGCGUAGGCGGUUCCUUAAGUCAGUGGUGAAAUACUUCAGCUUAACUGGAGAGGUGCCAUUGAUACUGGGGAACUUGAGUACUGAUGAGGUAGGCGGAAUGGACGGUGUAGCGGUGAAAUGCUUAGAUAUCGUCCAGAACACCGAUAGCGAAGGCAGCUUACUAAGGAGUAACUGACGCUGAGGCACGAAAGUGUGGGGAUCAAACAGGAUUAGAUACCCUGGUAGUCC
rnacentral:rRNA from 1 species